rnacentral:rRNA from 1 species
GACGAACGCUGGCGGCGUGCUUAACACAUGCAAGUCGAACGGAAAGGCCUCUUUCUUGGGGUACUCGAGUGGGGAGCGGGUGAGUAACACGUGAGUAACCUGCCCUUUUCUUUGGGAUAACUUCAUGAAACUGGGGGUAAUACCGGAUAGAAGCUCCUGCGGCAUGGGGGGGGGGGUAGAGUUUCGGCGGUUGGGGGUGGACUCUCGGCGUAUCAGCGUGUUGGUGGGGGAGUGGCUUACCCAGGCGUUGACGGGGAGGCGGCCUGGGAGGGUGACCGGCCAACUUGGGACUGAGAUACGGCCCCGACUCCUAAGGGAGGCAAAAGUGGGGAAUUUUGCACAAUGGGGGGGAGGCCGAUGAAGAAACGCCGUGUGCCGGAUGACGGUCUUAGGGUUGUAAAACGCUUUCGCUCAUGACGAAGCUUUGUGUGACGGUAGUGGGUAAAGAAGCACCGGCUAACUACGUG